GUGUCAGCAGCCGCGGUAAGACAGAGGUGCCGAGCGUUAGGCGGAAUCACUGGGCUUAAAGCGUGUGUAGGCGGGUCGUUAAGUGCCUUGUGAAAUCCCACGGCUUAACCGUGGAACUGCUGGGCAUACUGGCGGUCUUGAGCCAUCUAGGGGCAACCGGAACAAACGGUGGAGCGGUGAAAUGCGUAGAUAUCGUUUGGAACGCCAAUGGUGAAAACAGGUUGCUGGGGAUGUGCUGACGCUGAGACACGAAAGCCAGGGGAGCGAACGGGAUUAGAAACCCUAGUAGUCC
rnacentral:rRNA from 1 species